UACGGAGGGUGCGAGCGUUGUCCGGAAUCACUGGGCGUAAAGGGCGCGUAGGCGGCGCGGAUAGUCGGCGGUGAAAGCCCGGAGCUCAACUCCGGGUCGGCCGUCGAUACUUCCGGGCUUGAGCACUGUAGAGGCAGAUGGAAUUCCGGGUGUAGCGGUGGAAUGCGUAGAGAUCCGGAAGAACCCCUAUUGCGAAGGCAGCUUACUAGGCUGUAACUGACGCUGAGGCACGAAAGCGUGGGGAUCAAACAGGAGUUAGA
rnacentral:rRNA from 1 species